GACGGAAAUUCGGUCGGGCUCGUGCCUUUCCGGUGGCGAUCGGUCCGCGUUGUAUGUACCGACUGAAAUUGUUCUCAAACGCGAUGUCGGAUGGCGCGACUGACGCGAUCCCAGUCGCUGAAUCCUCGCCAUUGCCUGUUUGCGGACGAAUUUCGAAUUUCAGUCGGAUGGAAACGCAUCUAAUCCGGAGUUAAAAGGGGUCUGCCGUCGAUCGGCAUCGCGAGACUCAAGCACGAUGUGGGUGUGACCUGGUUUGCAAGAGUUUCACUUUCCUGUAACAUCGUUGCACGGAGGAGAGAAAGAUCGUUCGAUCGAGCUCUUACGAAUUCGGACGUGCAGCCGGUUCUCAUCCCACGCAAACCGAUGCGCGCGUGACAGCACGCGUGCACGCACGAUGCGCGUUUACGCGAGGAAGUCGGAGGAUUUAUUUUCGUCGCGGCCGCAUCCGAACGCACCCACUCGCUCUCAGGGAACCGCAGGCACUCUAAAGGCCACACACCGGUAUCUUUAUACGGUCGUUUACUCUCCGAGACAACGGUAAAACGGUAGGGACACUGCCUAAAAGUUAAUGAAAAUCACUUCCGCAUUGGCAUCUUAUAUGCAAGCAAUGCAUCAUAAUCUGAUUGUAGGAUACGCAUACCUCGGAAUCGAAAUAAUUAAGAAGCUAGUUUUUUUUAAGUGUAGUAUUCUGUAAUUUCUUAUAUAUAUUUAUAUUCUCAGUUUUAUACGUGCUUAAG